rnacentral:rRNA from 1 species
GACGUAGGGCGCGAGCGUUGUCCGGAAUUAUUGGGCGUAAAGAGCUCGUAGGCGGUUUGUCGCGUCUGCUGUGAAAACUCGGGGCUUAACUCCGGGCCUGCAGUGGGUACGGGCAGACUAGAGUGCGGUAGGGGAGACUGGAAUUCCUGGUGUAGCGGUGAAAUGCGCAGAUAUCAGGAGGAACACCGGUGGCGAAGGCGGCUCUGGGCCUAGCUGACG